rnacentral:rRNA from 1 species
UACGGAGGGAGCUAGCGUUGUUCGGAAUUACUGGGCGUAAAGCGCGCGCAGGCGGUCUUCCAAGUCAGUGGUGAAAGCCUGGAGCUCAACUCCAGAACUGCCAUUGAAAACUGUUAGACUUGAGUACGAGAGAGGUGAGUGGAAUUCCCCAGUGUAGAGGUGAAAAUUCGUAGAUAUUGGGAAGAACACCAGUGGCGAAGGCGGCUCACUGGCUCGUAACUGACGCUCAGGCGCGACAGCGUGGGGGAUCAAAACAGG